rnacentral:lncRNA from 1 species
UGUGAACCAUGCCAAAAACGUCCACGCUGCACAGAGUUUGGACGAAUUGUCUUUCAACUGUUCUCCGAUAUUUGUCCCAAGACAAGCAAAAAUUUUCUUUGCCUGUGCACUGGUGAGAAAAGCAGUGGCAAAACUACAGGGAAAAAAUUAUGCUAUAAAGGCUCAACUUUCCAUCGAGUGGUAAAGAACUUCAUGAUCCAGGGGGGUGAUUUCACUGAGGGCAAUGGAAGAGGAGGAGAAUCUAUAUAUGGUGGUUUCUUUGAAGAUGAGAACUUUACUCUCAAACAUGAUAGAGCCUUCCUCUUGUCGAUGGCCAACCGUGGCAAAGACACAAAUGGGUCCCAGUUCUUUAUAACUACUAAGACAGCGCCUCAUCUAGAUGGAGUGCAUGUGGUCUUCGGGCUGGUCAUCUCUGGCUUCGAGGUCAUAAAGAAAAUUGAAGGGCUGAAGACCGACUCAGCCAGCAGACCCUAUGCUGACGUCAGAGUGAUUGACUGUGGACAGCUGAUUACAAAGUCUGCUAACGAUGGUAAGCUUGUUCUUGAGUGUGAAAUAUAA